UAUAGUUACCUAAAUACCACAGAGGCAUCACAUCUAUCUGAUCUCGGAAGUUAAGUUGGGUCAGACCUGUUUAGUACUUGGAUGGGAAGCUGUUAAUGAAUACCAGGUGCUUCAGGCUAUAU
rnacentral:rRNA from 11 species